rnacentral:rRNA from 1 species
UAGGGAAUAUUGCACAAUGGGGGAAACCCUGAUGCAGCGACGCCGCGUGAGUGAUGAAGGCCUUCGGGUCGUAAAGCUCUGUUGUACGGGAAGAAAUGUUCAUGGCUAACAUCCAUGAGCUUUGACGGUACCGUAUAAGAAAGGACCGGCUAACUUCGUGCCAGCAGCCGCGGUAAGACGAGGGGUCCUAGCGUUGUUCGGAAUCACUGGGCGUAAAGCGUAUGUAGGCGGCCUGUUAAGUCAGUUGUGAAAUCCCAUGGCUCAACCAUGGAAUUGCAAUUGAAACUGGCGGGCUUGAAUGCAGGAGAGGUUGGUAGAAUACCUGGUGUAGUGGUGAAAUACGUAGAUAUCAGGUGGAAUACCGGUGGCGAAGGCGGCCAACUGGCCUAGCAUUGACGCUGAGAUACGAAAGCGUGGGGAUCAAACAGG